rnacentral:misc_RNA from 1 species
AAGUCGUAACAAGGUAACCGUAGGUGAACCUGCGGUUGGAUCAUUAACAAAAAUAUAAUGAAGAGUCUUUAACGAGGCUCUUUCGUUAACACUUUUGUGAAUAUAUAACAGUCUUUAAUGGGUUAAGAAUCGUUAACAACGACAGCUUUUUAUUAAGCUACCCAUUACUUUUAAACACUUUUAAACAUUUUAUUUGUCACUUUUUAAACCUUAAAAAUUUAAAAACAACUUUUGACAACGGAUCUCUAGGCUCUC